GAAAAGAAUCUGAGGCACAGAUAAAGAUAAGUUUUACUGUCAUGCUGCUUUUAACAUAACAGAGCAACGUUACCUAGGAAAAAAGUUUGUAGGAGGAUUUUUAAUCCAUAUAUCUGUCUUAUGGCUAGAUAAAGAUUUCUCUGAAAAAAAGAAGCAUGUCAGGAAUCUCUGGGUGCCCCUUUUUCCUCUGGGGACUUCUAGCAUUGUUGGGCUUGGCUUUGGUUAUAUCACUGAUCUUCAAUAUUUCCCACUAUGUGGAAAAGCAACAACAAGAUAAAAUGUACAGCUACUCCAGUGACCACACCAGGGUUGAUGAGUAUUAUAUUGAAGACACACCAAUUUAUGGUAACUUAGAUGAUAUGAUUUCAGGUAAGUUUUCCAUAAAUUAAAUUUAUAAAUAAGUAAAUCCCAGUUGGUUUCACAAAAUAAUUUAAGUGGCACUUUAAAAAAAUCACAAUCACACUUAGCUAUCCCAGUGAUAACCAUCAAUUCAAGAACUUUUAGUAUACUAAUUAGGCUACAUUUCCAAAGCUGCAUAUUGUAACUUGUAUUACAAUAGCCACUCUAAAUCAACAUCCUGUUUUUCUAUAUUCUCUUCAUUUCACUCUAGUAGUAAUGAGA
rnacentral:sRNA from 1 species